rnacentral:rRNA from 1 species
UAGUCCACGCUGUAAACGAUGAUCACUAAGUGUUCGGCCUUCGGGUUGGGUGCUCAAGCGAAAGCGAUAAGUGAUCCACCUGGGGAGUACGUCGGCAACGAUGAAACUCAAAGGAAUUGACGGGGGCCCGCACAAGCGGUGGAGCAUGUGGUUUAAUUCGAUGAUACGCGAGGAACCUUACCUAGGCUAUAAUGUGAGUGCUAUCUGGUAAAAGCCGGAGUUCCUUCGGGACACGAAACAAGGUGCUGCAUGGUUGUCGUCAGCUCGUGCCGUGAGGUGUUGGCUUAAGUGCCGCAACGAGCGCAACCCCUAUUGUUAGUUGCCAGCGAGUAAUGUCGGGGACUCUAACAAGACUGCCGGCGUAAGCCGGGAGGAAGGUGGGGAUGACGUCAAAUCAUCAUGGCCUUUAUGCCUAGGGCUACACACGUGCUACAAUGGACGGUACAGAGGGUUGCUAACCCGCGAGGGGGUGCUAAUCUCAGAAAGCCGUUCCCAGUUCGGA